rnacentral:rRNA from 1 species
GGAUGACGCUGGCGGCAGGCCUAUACAUGCAGUCGAACGGUAGCACAGAGAGCUUGCUCUCCGGUGACGAGUGGCGGACGGGUGAGUAAUGUCUGGGAAACUGCCUGAUGGAGGGGGAUAACUACUGGAAACGGUAGCUAAUACCGCAUAACGUCGCAAGACCAAAGAGGGGGACCUUCGGGCCUCUUGCCAUCAGAUGUGCCCAGAUGGGAUUAGCUUGUAGGCGGGGUAAUGGCCCACCUAGGCGACGAUCCCUAGCUGGUCUGAGAGGAUGACCAGCCACACUGGAACUGAGACACGGUCCAGACUCCUACGGGAGGCAGCAGUGGGGAAUAUUGCACAAUGGGCGCAAGCCUGAUGCAGCCAUGCCGCGUGUGUGAAGAAGGCCUUCGGGUUGUAAAGCACUUUCAGCGGGGAGGAAGGCGGUACGGUUAAUAACCGUGCUGAUUGACGUUACCCGCAGAAGAAGCACCGGCUAACUCCGUGCCAGCAGCCGCGGUAAUACGGAGGGUGCAAGCGUUAAUCGGAAUUACUGGGGCGUAAAGCGCACGCAGGCGGUCUGUCAAGUCCGGAUGUGAAAUCCCCGGGCUCACCUGGGAACUGCAUUCAAAACUGCAGGCUGGAGUCUCGUAAGGAGGUAGAAUUCCAGGUGUGCGUGAAAUGCUAAGAUCUGGAGGAAUACCGGUGGCGAAGCGUCUCCUGGACGAGAUGACGUCAGUGCGAAAGGGUGGGAACCAACAGAAUA